rnacentral:rRNA from 1 species
UACGAAGGGGGCUAGCGUUUUUCGGAAUUACUGGGCGUAAAGCGCACGCAGGCGGAUUUAUAAGUCAGGGGUGAAAUCCCGGGGCUCAACCUCGGAAUUGCCCUUGAUACUGUCUAUCUUGAGUCCGGGAGAGGUGAGUGGAAUUCCUAGUGUAGAGGUGAAAUUCGUAGAUAUUAGGAAGAACACCAGUGGCGAAGGCGGCUCACUGGCCCGGUACUGACGCUCAUGUGCGAAAGCGUGGGGAGCAAACAGG